rnacentral:rRNA from 1 species
AUCGGGCGAGCCGGGCACUCUGGAGGGACGUGCCGGCGACAAGCCGGAGGAAGGUGGGGAUGACGUCAAGGUCAUCAUGGCCCUUAUGUCCAGGGCGACACACGGUGCUACAAUGGCCGGCACAGCGGGAAGCGGAGGGGCGACCCUGAGCGGAUCCCUUGAAAGCCGGUCCCAAGUUCGGAUUGCAGUCUGCAACUCGACUGCAUGAAGUUGGAAUCGCUAGUAAUCGCGGAUCAGCCAAGCCGCGGUGAAUACGUUCCCGGGCCUU